rnacentral:rRNA from 1 species
UACGUAGGGCGCAAGCGUUGUCCGGAAUUAUUGGGCGUAAAGAGCUCGUAGGCGGUCUGUUGCGUCUGCCGUGAAAACCCGAGGCUUAACCUCGGGCCUGCGGUGGAUACGGGCGGACUAGAGGUAGGUAGGGGAGAAUGGAAUUCCCGGUGUAGCGGUGAAAUGCGCAGAUAUCGGGAGGAACACCGGUGGCGAAGGCGGUUCUCUGGGCCUUACCUGACGCUGAGGAGCGAAAGCGUGGGGAGCGAACAGG